UGCCUCUGAAAAUAGAAAAAUCAGAAGGAAAUGGACAUUUUACUAAUUUUUAGUUCAAACUGCCAUAAUGCAAAAAUCUAUGACCCCCCAAACUACCCUGCCUUCAGCAAAGAUGAGUCAUGUUUUCAAUCAAGACCUAUUGACACCUACCCAACACCGUACAAUUUUAAAUUCUCUUUCAUUUCUUAGGUAAAGAAAGAGAAUACGGAAGGUACUGCAGUCCGCUUUUAAUUAUUGACAACUCUGCAACUGUAAAGUGGUCGACAGGUUGGGAGUUAUGAUAACCAUGUUCUAAUCCUGGAUCCGCUUGGGUCACACCGUAAGGAAAGAGGAAUAUCACAUUAACUCUCUCUAGCUAUUGAUACCUCCUUCAACCAGCAAAGCCCGCUUUCCAGUUGUAAUUGUCUCAAAACUAGGCGAAAUUAUUAUUUUCAAAGAACCAACAAGGCGAAGUGGCAUUUCCCAAAAUAUGGUCUGUGGUCUUCCUACAUCAGAAUAUGCUGAUGGGUCUGUUAAAAAUAGACCUCGAGAUCCCACCUCAAAAUGUCAGAAUCAGAGUUCUUAGGAAUGGAGCUUGAGACUGGAACCUUCUUAACUAGGUGCCUGGCUGAUUUUGCUAAUGCUAAAUACGGAAUGACCGCUAUAAAGCACAUUUGACGAGGACAAUUAUUAAGACAAAACGAAUUUCACUUGGAAGCAGCUGCCAAGAGGCUAGAAUAGUACCCUUUUAUAUUCAGGAGAAGAAACUUCCCGGAGUCUUAAUUUGAAUAAUCCAUCUUUGAAGUAUUCUCUGAAUCUUCAUACUUCUCCAUGUAACUAAAGCAAAGAGGGGUGAGCUUUCUUCCUGUUCCUGCAGAGGCGCAGGGACUCCACAGUUCGUGGAGAAUAAAUAGAGAAGAGCCACUUACCGUCUCUGUAGAGGAUAUUUUCUCUAUCUCUAAAACCAGAGGUCGGCUAGACAAGAAGGACUUCUGAGACUUUUAGGUUGGGGAGAGCCCCAUGAUCCUGUGACCACCCCAGCAGCCAUAGGACUAACUGCUCCUUAACGUUGGAAACACAGGCCUGUCUGAAGUCCCUCCUACCUCAUCCCUGCCCUUCGCCUAGUUUACUACAAAGGAGACAAAGAGCAAACUGCUAACUUAAAGUUGUGCCAAGUCAAAAGAACCACAUUUAAUAGGAGACAGAAUACAGCGCAGUGUUCCAAAGCAUGGGCUGGGCAGUCACCCAGUCUUGGCACCCCCGUCUGGGAGCUGCCUAUCGUCGACUGGUUACUGGGGCUCUCUAUUUCCUCUUCUGUAAAAUAGCAAGAAUAAUCCCAUCUCAUCAGAUUCUUUUGGAGACUAACACAAAUGACUUUUAUAAAGACCUCGGUACCAUGCUUAGUUACUGAAUAAUAUUUUUAAUUCCA